UACGUAGGGUGCGAGCGUUGUCCGGAAUUACUGGGCGUAAAGAGCUUGUAGGCGGUCUGUCACGUCGAUUGUGAAAACUUGGGGCUCAACCCCACGCUUGCAGUCGAUACGGGCAAACUAGAGUAUUGCAGGGGAGACUGGAAUUCCUGGUGUAGCGGUGAAAUGCGCAGAUAUCAGGAGGAACACCGGUGGCGAAGGCGGGUCUCUGGGCAAUAACUGACGCUGAGGAGCGAAAGCGUGGGGAGCGAACAGG
rnacentral:rRNA from 1 species